GCACCCCCAACUCUGGUUUAGACUUUCCUUACAGGUCCCGACAGCGGAUGUGACCCCUCGACUCCAGCUUCUCCGACGUCGGUGGAAUUCUGUACCAACAGAAUUGGCGCUAGAGAAAGGGCAGUGUCUUCGCAGUACCCUUAUUCUUAAAGGAGUGUUCAACGAGACUAUCUUUGGUCACCUUCUCUGACAUCUUCUUCUCCUUCUCCUGUC
rnacentral:lncRNA from 1 species